GACGAACGCUGGCGGCGUGCUUAACACAUGCAAGUCGAACGGAAAGGCCCUGCUUUUGUGGGGUGCUCGAGUGGCGAACGGGUGAGUAACACGUGAGUAACCUGCCCUUGACUUUGGGAUAACUUCAGGAAACUGGGGCUAUUACCGGAUAGGAGCUCCUGCUGCAUGGUGGGGGUUGGAAAGUUUCGGCGGUUGGGGAUGGACUCGCGGCUUAUCAGCUUGUUGGUGGGGUAGUGGCUUACCAAGGCUUUGACGGGUAGCCGGCCUGGGAGGGUGACCGGCGACAUUGGGACUGAGAUACGGCCCAGACGCCUACGGGAGGCAGCAGUGGGGAAUAUUGCGCAAUGGGCGGAAGCCUGAGGCAGCAACGCCGCGUGCGGGAUGACGGCCUUCGGGUUGUAAACCGCUGUGGCCGGUGACGAAGCGUGAGUGACGGUAAUGGGUAAAGAAGCACCGGCUAACUACGUG
rnacentral:rRNA from 1 species